UACGUAGGGUGCAAGCGUUAAUCGGAAUUACUGGGCGUAAAGCGUGCGCAGGCGGCUAUGCAAGACAGAUGUGAAAUCCCCCGGGCUCAACCUGGGAACUGCAUUUGUGACUGCAUAGCUAGAGUACGGUAGAGGGGGAUGGAAUUCCGCGUGUAGCAGUGAAAUGCGUAGAUAUGCGGAGGAACACCGAUGGCGAAGGCAAUCCCCUGGACCUGUACUGACGCUCAUGCACGAAAGCGUGGGGAGCAAACAGG
rnacentral:rRNA from 1 species